GUAAGUGUUAGGGAGCACACCUGGCAUAUACACACUGCGUUUCUGAAUGUGUGCCGGAAAUGUUCGGAACAUGCUGUUAUUCCGGGACCAUCGAAAAUAAAGGGAAAUUUUGGAGCUCGCCUAACUCCCACAGCAUCAGUGACACAGACAUGAAUGAAUGUUUGGCUUAGUCCAGACGAUCAGGAAAUUCCUUUGGGAAUGGAUCCCAUGUGGAUGUUGCAGGGAAUUACACACUAAUGUAAAAUGAGUCUAGAGAUCAAACAGCCGAACCGAGACACGGGCUGCGUCCGGAACCGCACACUUACCUACUGCACAGUAGGCGAAAAGCAGUACACCAGAGGGGUAGUAUGUCCGAAUUCUCAGUAGGCGAGAAAUACCCGGAUGGUGUACUGCUUCCGGCUAGAUUUUGUAGUAUGCAACUGAUGACCUGCGUGAAGUUGACCCCCACCCAACGCAAAACGUCGGCAAAAUAGUCUGAAUCAUUUGUGCUCCGUUUGUGCCGAUGAAAGUUCCGUUUGAGCUGCUUCAGUUUUUUAAAUAUUAGAUAUUAAAUUAUAGGCGAUGACGUCACCAACCCCCACACGCUCCAAAUUCACCCCCAAAUAGUCUCAAUCGUUUGUGCUAAUAAGAGCUUCAUUUUUGCGACUGUCUUUCUUUUUUUUAACAAUACAGUUGAAGAAACAAAGUAACAUCCAAAUGGCAAAACAAAUCACAUUAAAUAGUCGUAUUCACUUAAUUGUUAACUAUCUACUGUUCGUUUUCAACUUUUAAGGGACACAGCGGAGCACAGGAUGUGUGAAAUGUAACACGAACUCCAAGGGUGGCCAAAUUAGGCAGAUGGAUUGGCUCAGGAUCUCCAAAAUCCAUCAGCUUUGUUGCCUCUGAUGCCCUCCAUACAUGGAGUUGCAUUCUGCUCUCACACAGUUCUUUGGCUGUCUGCACAUGCAAGUUACCAGACAUCGCAUGCUUGGAACAGCCAGUGUGCAGGGAGUCAUUAGUGUUUUUAAUUAAACACUUGAGCACCAUUGGGCUGUUCAUUUCACACUGUCAAAUUUUAUGUGAAUGUGGCCAAGGCAUUCCUUACAGUUGCCUCUGAUUUCUAUGAAUUUCUCUGUGGCUGAUUGAUAGACCUUGGCUCUUUUAAAGGCUAAUGUGCAGGGGCUUUUCACUUCUUGCCAAAUGUGAUUAUUUAUCACAUGUGUCCAGAUGCCAGGCUUCAAAGUUGUGUAUUCCCUUUUUUGUGUUUUAGAGAACUUGUUUUUGUAUUGAAC
ensembl:lncRNA